GGGGGUGGAAGGGUCCCGGUGGGCUUCGCGGUCUUCAAAACCGUUGCACGGCCGCUAGCGCGGUCGUGGGUGGGUUCGACUCCCAUGCACCUCCG
rnacentral:tRNA from 1 species